UUGGUUAAGUUAGAAAGGGCGCACGGUGGAUGCCUUGGCACUAGGAGCCGAAGAAGGACGGGACUAACACCGAUAUGCUUUGGGGAGCUGUACGUAAGCGUUGAUCCAGAGAUUUCCGAAUGGGGGAACCCACUAUCUUUAGUCGGAUAGUAUCCUUACGUGAAUACAUAGCGUGAGGAAGGCAGACCCAGGGAACUGAAACAUCUAAGUACCUGGAGGAAGAGAAAGAAAAAUCGAUUUCCUGAGUAGCGGCGAGCGAAACGGAAAGAGCCCAAACCAAGAAGCUUGCUUCUUGGGGUUGUAGGACACUCUAUACGGAGUUACAAAAGAAAGUUAUAAAUGAAGCGGUCUGGAAAGGCCCGCCAAAGACGGUAACAGCCCGGUAGUUGAAAUGGCUUUCCCUCCAGAGUGGAUCCUGAGUACGGCGGAACACGUGAAAUUCCGUCGGAAUCCGGGAGGACCAUCUCCCAAGGCUAAAUACUCCCUAGUGACCGAUAGUGAACCAGUACCGUGAGGGAAAGGUGAAAAGCACCCCGGAAGGGGAGUGAAACAGUUCCUGAAACCGUGUGCCUACAAGUAGUUAGAGCCCGUUAAUGGGUGAUAGCGUGCCUUUUGUAGAAUGAACCGGCGAGUUACGAUUUGUUGCAAGGUUAAGCGGAAAAAGCGGAGCCGUAGCGAAAGCGAGUCUGAAUAGGGCGCAUAAGUAACAGGUCGUAGACCCGAAACCAGGUGAUCUACCCAUGUCCAGGAUGAAGGUAAGGUAAUACUUACUGGAGGUCCGAACCCACGCACGUUGAAAAGUGCGGGGAUGAGGUGUGGGUAGCGGAGAAAUUCCAAUCGAACUUGGAGAUAGCUGGUUCUCUCCGAAAUAGCUUUAGGGCUAGCCUCGAGGUAAAGAGUCAUGGAGGUAGAGCACUGUUUGGACUAGGGGCCCUUCUCGGGUUACCGAAUUCAGAUAAACUCCGAAUGCCAUGUACUUAUACUCGGGAGUCAGACUGCGAGUGAUAAGAUCCGUAGUCGAAAGGGAAACAGCCCAGACCACCAGUUAAGGUCCCCAAAUAUAUGUUAAGUGGAAAAGGAUGUGGGGUUGCUUAGACAACCAGGAUGUUGGCUUAGAAGCAGCCACCAUUGAAAGAGUGCGUAAUAGCGCACUGGUCGAGUGACCCCGCGCCGAAAAUGUACCGGGGCUAAACAUAUUACCGAAACUGUGGAUGAACCUCUUUAGAGGUUCGUGGUAGGAGAGCGUUCUAAGGGCGGUGAAGUCAGACCGGAAGGACUGGUGGAGCGCUUAGAAGUGAGAAUGCCGGUAUGAGUAGCGAAAGAAGGGUGAGAAUCCCUUCCACCGAAUAUCUAAGGUUUCCUGAGGAAGGCUCGUCCGCUCAGGGUUAGUCGGGACCUAAGCCGAGGCCGAUAGGCGUAGGCGAUGGACAACAGGUAGAGAUUCCUGUACCAGUGCUAAUUGUUUAACCGAUGGGGUGACACAGAAGGAUAGGGAAUCGCACGAAUGGAAAUGUGCGUCCAAGCAGUGAGUGUGAGAAGUAGGCAAAUCCGCUUCUCGCGAAGCAUGAGCUGUGAUGGGGAAGGAAAUUAAGUACGGAAGUUCCUGAUUUCACGCUGUCAAGAAAAGCCUC
rnacentral:rRNA from 1 species